AGGAUUAUAAUUUAUAAUAAAAUACUUGAUUUGCAAUCAAAAAAUAUUGAUUUAAUCAAUUUAUCUUA
rnacentral:tRNA from 1 species